rnacentral:lncRNA from 1 species
AGAGUCCAACUUUUUCUCAUCAUUUCAGUUGGUUUCGUAAUUCCUGUCAUCAGUAUUCGAUGAUUUUCCUUUGACAGUAAGCAAGAUUCAUGCAACUUUCUGAAAUUUCAUGAUAAUAUCUCCAUUUUAAUUUCUUCUACAUUUUAUUGGUUUAUGAUAAUAUAUUGUUCUAAAAUUGAGAAGAGAAGGCCCAUGUUCUCAUUCCAUUGAUUUCACGAAUUGUAUGUAAGGUGCCAGAUGUCAAAAUUGACAUGCGACUGACCCAUAUGGAUGUUAUACGCAUGCCAUUUCCAAACUAGUAAGUGGAGG